UACGUAGGUGGCAAGCGUUGUCCGGAAUUAUUGGGCGUAAAGCGCGCGCAGGCGGUCCUUUAAGUCUGAUGUGAAAGCCCACGGCUCAACCGUGGAGGGUCAUUGGAAACUGGGGGACUUGAGUACAGAAGAGAAGAGUGGAAUUCCACGUGUAGCAGUGAAAUGCGUAGAUAUCGAGAGGAACACCAGUGGCGAAGGCGAGUCCCUGGACAACUCCUGACGCUGAGGCACGAAAGCUAGGGGAGCAAACAGG
rnacentral:rRNA from 1 species